UUAGUUAACCGAAAUGACAUAGAAACACCAAUGUAUCAAGUUCUCAAUGGAUGAUUCUUGUCCAUACCGAAACAAUAUGUUCACAUGUCUAAGUCUGUCCACAAAUUUUCCUUACCAAAAUCAGACGACCACUCAUGCCCAAUUAUACACUACUGUAUAUAUCAUUUGAUUUGAAGUAUACACUUCGAUUAGUUCUUUGAAAACUCGGGAUCAGCUGGUUUAUGAGAGGUAUAAGGGGUAACAUAUGUGGAGACAUGGAACAAUUCGCUGUAUUUUUCUGUCGAUUUCGUAAUGCUUUGGAUACAAAUCUCGACAUAUAGAGAGCUGAUCUAAGACUGAGUUGUGUUUAUUAAGAAAUCAGAUUCAUUUAUUUGAGGCCAUAUGUUUGUUUCUUUUUAAUUUUGUUAGAUUCAAAUAUAUAUUUUAAUAAAACUACAUCCAAUUGGUUAAUAACAGGUUUUCAGGUUUUAUCGGGUUUUAUAGGAUUUUUAAUUAAUGAUCUACCAGUUGGACAAUGAAUCUGAGUCGGAUAUGAAAUUACUACUUGAAACUCAAAACAUAAUAAUAGAGCACCUUUUAAUUAUUUAUUUUCUAAUAAAUUAAAUAUAAAUUCAUGCAAAUUUUAUUAAAAUGGUCAACAAAAAGAUAUCUGCGCUUUGAAAAAGCGGGUCAAAAAUAGCAAUAGCUUAUAAAUCGAAUGGAAACAAAAAAAAAGUGUAGAUUGAUGGUUAGAACUAUGGUUCAAACAUAUGACAAUAAAACUCAUCUUCACUUUAAAAUAGACAAUUCAUAUCGUUAUUACAUCUCAAUAAUAAAAACACAUUAUUCAUUAAUAUAAAAAUAUCUAUAAUAUUAAAUCAUAUAUAUCAUCCUUAAAUCUAUUUCGAAAAAACCACACCUUCCAAAAUAAUAAAAACAUAAAAAUUAAAUUGUUAAGAUUUAAAAUAAAAAAUAGUGGUAGUUUUAAAAUCAUUUUUUGGAUCAAUAAGUGAAAAACAUAUUUGCGCUUUCUAAGCGCAAACAAAAAUCUAGUAUUUUAUUUCUUGAAAAUCAUUAUUUGGACCUAACCUUAAAUUACCGUGACAUAUUAUCCAAUUCAAAUUCUUAUAUUAACUAUGCAUCAUAAUAUGUCUUCAAACAACUUUCUUAUUCACUUAAAUAUUUAAAUAUUUUAAAAAUAAAAUAAAUAAAAGAUAUUCAUACAAAAAAUUUCCAAGAUUUUAAUAAAAGUUUACUAUAUCUUUUUUUAAAUAUAAAUACAUGGGUUUUAAUAUUAAAUUUUAUAAAUAUAUAAAUAAUUUCGUAAUUAAUAUUAAAUAAUUAUUAUAUAUCAAUAUUAGUUUAAUUUGUCUCAUUAAAUAAUUACUAUACAUCAAUAUUGUUAUUUGUAGUAUUGAAUAAUAUUAUUAACUGUUGCUUAUCAAGGUUUCUUAUAUGUUUUCUCUCUUAGUUAAUUUACGGAUUAUUUCCUAUCAGAUCCUUUUCCGAUCAUCUCUUAAAUUACUAGUUGACUAGUUGAUUUUUUAGCUAAUUUUGAUUUGAACAUUUUCUAAUAUAUAAAUAUAUGAUUGUUCGUGUGUGCAUUCUCAUUACACUCUUUUGUCAAAAAACAUUCUCAUUACACUCAUUGUCAUUUUAUUCUUCUAAUAAAGGACUAAACCCAUCAUUUGUGUUAUUCUUAAUGGUCGUCUUUGUUUUAGGUGUGCUUUACACAAAAUCUAUUUAAAAAUCAAGUAUUUCUCUUGUAUUUUAUCUAUAUAAAAAAAAUUAAAUAAUGUUUGAAUAUAUUUAUUUUAGGUAUGGUGUGCAAUUUUGUGAAUCUAUGGUGUGCAAUUUUGAUUGUGCUUCAAAGUGGGAAUAGGCGAGUGUGUGAGUUCGAAAAGUCCAAACUGCAUAUGCGCUUAUAGUUGCCCAAAUUUAUUUUCUUUGUUAUCCAUAGUAUAAUCAAUCACAUUAAUAAAUUAAGAGUCGUAAAAAUUGCAAAAUUUGAUUUGUCUUUCUUUUUUUUUUGAAUGCGGACUCUAAUUAAAAUAAUUUGGUGUGAACUUUAAAUUGUUACUUUUGAACAUAUAUAUAGAAGUUUGCACAAAUAUAUAAUUUUGAAUAAUAUCAUUUGUCAUAUUACUUUCAGUUAAUUGAAUAUAUAUAUAGAAGUUUACCUUAAAUCUAAUAUUCAACAGCUUCCACUUUUUUGAACAGAUCAUGCCAUAUUACUUUCAGUUAAUUUAAAAGUAGGUUUGGAAAACAAUAGUCGGCAGAUCACAAUCCCAUCACGAUCAUAAGCCGAUUGCCGGAAAUAAAAUGGUCCUCGACUGAAUUCUAAAUGACCUGCAACAGUAGCUAACUAAAUGGCUCAUCCUUCGAUUCCUAGCCUCAUCGUUUCCCUCUCAUUCUCCAUUGGAUCCACCGUCCCACCAACUUCUCUAGCUAACUAAAUGGCUCGUGAGUUAUGUAUUAUCUUAGUUUUGUUGUUUACUUCCAAAACGUCUGGAUCUGAAUGUGCCUACAAAACACUAUAUAUCUCUUCUAAACUAUCGAUAUAUUGCUGUUCAAGUAUUCAUAUGAUAAAUAAACAUCAUUGAAUUAUAGUAUGUGUACAUAAAGUAGUCAUUAGUCAUGAGUAAUAUAAUUUUGCAAUUAAGAUUAUGUUUCCUAUAAUCUUACUAUUGUUUUCCGUUAGUCCUGUUGCAGUUUAAAUAGGGACCGACUGUUUAUCAUGGAAUAUCUGACAAUAAGCCACGACAUGUUUUCCAGAAAAAAUUUAAGCGAAUUUCCCGUGAGUUUGGCAAGUUUUUUGGUGAGGUUUCAGUGAAGUCUUCAGCAAAGUUUGUGAUACACUAAAAUGAGCAAGCUAACAGUGGUUGAUGUAAUAUUUGAGGUUUAAUUCCAAAGAGCCGUUCUUACAUUUUCUUUCCGUGAGUUUGAUAUCAAGCUAAAACAAAUCGAUUUAAAUAAAAUAAAAUAAUUUAAAUAAAACAAGUAGAGUUGGUUUGGUUUCAGAUUAUAAAAGAUGCUAAGUCUAGGGCAAAGGAUCAGAUGUCAAGCGAUCAUAAUCCAAAUAACUAUUCAAAGAACAAUUUCAAACAAGUCUAGAACUCAAAAUACACAUAUAGAUGGUUCAUUCUUGUGGCAUCUCACAUUUUAUCAAACAAUUCUAACACCUAAACUGUCCUUUGGAUUAGAAUAUGAAGACAAACAUUAAGCUCAAAUUCGAUUUGUUCACAAGUGUCCCUAAUGUCUACUUUCGCUGGUUAGGAACAAGUUGUCCAUUCAUAUUGUUUUUAGCAACCUAAACACUUUCGAUCAUUAGAUUAAACCUAGUUCAAACACUAAUGUUUAGUUAAAUACAGACAGUAAGCGUAAUCCUUAUUUGUAUUUAGUUCAUGGAUCUAUACACCGUAACACUCUAGACCUAACAAUUAACAUAAACAUAGAAAAUACAGAUAUAAUAGACAAAGAAAACAUGUCUGAAUCAAUAUUAAUAAGCAAAGAGUGUUUAGAAAUCUUCUCCAAAGGAUGUAAAAUUCUUCUCCCUUAACAAGGUUACAAAUUUUCUCUCUCGAAAAUCUCUAUAAAAAGUGGCGUAGUCUCUCAAAAAAUAAGAAAAUGUGUUUUUGCAGGUCUAUGGCAGCCCAUGAGGAAAAAUAGGAUCCCUAGGUAAAAUUCCGAAAUAUUGGAAGUUUUUAAAAAAAUCUUGAGCGGCUGGAGCAUGCACUCGGGUGAUCUGCUAUGUUAGGAUCACCCACCAGGCUGCUCUAUCCGGUUUCCGAACGAAAAAAAACUCCAAUCCUGAUUCACUUCCUCAUGUGUCUCUCCAAAAGCCUUCAUACCUACUCCAUACCUACUCCAUACCUGAAUUGACUCAAAAAAGACUAGAAAGACUUGAUAAAGAAUCGAUAAAGACUCUAAAAUAAUUUAGAAAACAUAUAUACAAUGUGUCAAAAACACAACAUAUCAGUUUCUCGCCCGUUUCUCUUAUGUAUAUCGGUUUUGGUUAGCCAGUCGGUCUGACCCGGUAAAGAAGAGAUUGAAUCUUUCGUAAGGUUCGUCUAAAAGUCUAAAGAACAAAGUAAGACAUAGCAAACCAAGAAAGGCAGAGAAAACUGCUAAAGCUAGGUUCACUAAAAACUAAAUCCUCUAAGUGUCAAGUUCGCUAAAGCUAAGGCUUCUAAUGGUGUAGUGGAAAAUUAAUAGUUCAUCUGCACAUAUAUUCUUCAUGUAUUAAAAUCAUUAUUCAAUUUCUUUUUUUUUCAAAUUUUAUUUAGUAGGAGAUCAGCACAAAGUUUAAUAUAUAUAUAUAUAUAUAUAUUACCUUUUUUUAAAUAUUACCUUUUUUUAAAAAAAAACGUAGAUAGAUUGCAUCCAACUUUUGUACACCAUACAUUUGAUGAUGUUGACCCAUUUGUUUUUUUUUUUUUGAAUUAUUAGUUAACCGAAAUGACAUAGAAACACCAAUGUAUCAAGUUCUCAAUGGAUGAUUCUUGUCCAUACCGAAACAAUAUGUUCACAUGUCUAAGUCUGUCCACAAAUUUUCCUUACCAAAAUCAGACGACCACUCAUGCCCAAUUAUACACUACUGUAUAUAUCAUUUGAUUUGAAGUAUACACUUCGAUUAGUUCUUUGAAAACUCGGGAUCAGCUGGUUUAUGAGAGGUAUAAGGGGUAACAUAUGUGGAGACAUGGAACAAUUCGCUGUAUUUUUCUGUCGAUUUCGUAAUGCUUUGGAUACAAAUCUCGACAUAUAGAGAGCUGAUCUAAGACUGAGUUGUGUUUAUUAAGAAAUCAGAUUCAUUUAUUUGAGGCCAUAUGUUUGUUUCUUUUUAAUUUUGUUAGAUUCAAAUAUAUAUUUUAAUAAAACUACAUCCAAUUGGUUAAUAACAGGUUUUCAGGUUUUAUCGGGUUUUAUAGGAUUUUUAAUUAAUGAUCUACCAGUUGGACAAUGAAUCUGAGUCGGAUAUGAAAUUACUACUUGAAACUCAAAACAUAAUAAUAGAGCACCUUUUAAUUAUUUAUUUUCUAAUAAAUUAAAUAUAAAUUCAUGCAAAUUUUAUUAAAAUGGUCAACAAAAAGAUAUCUGCGCUUUGAAAAAGCGGGUCAAAAUAGCAAUAGCUUAUAAAUCGAAUGGAAACAAAAAAAAAGUGUAGAUUGAUGGUUAGAACUAUGGUUCAAACAUAUGACAAUAAAACUCAUCUUCACUUUAAAAUAGACAAUUCAUAUCGUUAUUACAUCUCAAUAAUAAAAACACAUUAUUCAUUAAUAUAAAAAUAUCUAUAAUAUUAAAUCAUAUAUAUCAUCCUUAAAUCUAUUUCGAAAAAUACCACACCGUCCAAAAUAAUAAAAACAUAAAAAUUAAAUUGUUAAGAUUUAAUAUAAAAAAUAGUGGUAGUUUUAAAAUCAUUUUUUGGAUCAAUAAGUGAAAAACAUAUUUGCGCUUUCUAAGCGCAAACAAAAAUCUAGUAUAUUAUUUCUUGAAAAUCAUUAUUUGGACCUAACCUUAAAUUACCGUGACAUAUUAUCCAAUUCAAAUUCUUAUAUUAACUAUGCAUCAUAAUAUGUCUUCAAACAACUUUCUUAUUCACUUAAAUAUUUAAAUAUUUUAAAAAUAAAAUAAAUAAAAGAUAUUCAUACAAAAAAUUUCCAAGAUUUUAAUAAAAGUUUACUAUAUCUUUUUUUAAAUAUAAAUACAUGGGUUUUAAUAUUAAAUUUUAUAAAUAUAUAAAUAAUUUCGUAAUUAAUAUUAAAUAAUUAUUAUAUAUCAAUAUUAGUUUAAUUUGUCUCAUUAAAUAAUUACUAUACAUCAAUAUUGUUAUUUGUAGUAUUGAAUAAUAUUAUUAACUGUUGCUUAUCAAGGUUUCUUAUAUGUUUUCUCUCUUAGUUAAUUUACGGAUUAUUUCCUAUCAGAUCCUUUUCCGAUCAUCUCUUAAAUUACUAGUUGACUAGUUGAUUUUUUAGCUAAUUUUGAUUUGAACAUUUUCUAAUAUAUAAAUAUAUGAUUGUUCGUGUGUGCAUUCUCAUUACACUCUUUUGUCAAAAACAUUCUCAUUACACUCAUUGUCAUUUUAUUCUUCUAAUAUCAUCAAAAUGACUAAACCCAUCAUUUGUGUUAUUCUUAUGGUCGUCCUUGUUUUAGGUAUGGUGGCGAAGGAAACACAAGGAGAAAAGAGGUGUCAUAUAAAUAUAUCUUAUGGUAAUGAAGAUUGUGAAUCUAUGGCGUGUAAUUUUGAUUGUGCUUCAAAGUGGAAGGGAUUGGGCGAGUGUGUGAGUACAGAAAGUCCAAACUGCAUAUGCGCUUAUCGUUGCCCAAAUUGAUUUGCUUUGUUAGACAUAAUAAUAUAUCAUCAAUCACACUAAUAAAAUAAUGAGUAAUAAAAAUUGCAAAUUUUGAUUUGUCAUUUUUUAUUUGAAUGCGAACGCUUAUUGCAUCUUCAUUAAAAAAAAAAAGAACUCUGAUUGCAUCCACCGUCCCAGCAACUUGUCUAGCCAACUAAAUGGCUCUCGGUUUAUGUAUUCUUUCAGUUUUUGUUGUUUACUUCCAAAACGUCUGAAUCUGAGUGUGCCUAUAAAAGACUAUCGAUAUGUUUCUGUUCAAGUAUUCAUAUUAUAAAUAAACAUCAUUGAAUUAUAGUAUGUGUAUAUAUAGUAGUCAUGAGUAAUAUAAGUUUGCAAUUAAGAUUAUGUUUCCUAUAAUCUUACUAUUGUUCCCCGUUAGUCCUGCUACAGUUUAAAUGGUGACUGUUUAUUUUGGAAUAUCUGACAACAAGCUAUGUUCUUCAGAAAUUUUUAAGCGAGUUUCCAGUGAGUUUGAAAAGUUUUUUGGUGAGGUUUCAGUGAAGUAUUCAGCUAAGUUUGUCGCCCGUUUCUCUUUUGUAUAUCAGUUUUGGUUAGCUAGUCGGUCCGACCCGGUUGACCCAGUUUGAGUUUGGUUGAUUUUGUUUAAUUGAUUUACCUGCUUUGGUUUGCUUUUUAUUGUUGUUUCUUCUGAAACGAUUAUAAUCUCAUGUUUUGUUUUGUGUACGAGGUUAACUCAUUGCGAGUAACCGAAAUGACAUAGAAACAGAAAUGUGUGAAGUUCUCCAUCGAUGAUUCUUGUCCAUACCGAAACAAUAUGUUUACAUUUCCAAGUCUGUCCACAAAUUUUCCUUACCAAAAUCAGACGACCAUUCAUGCCCAAUCGUACACUACACUAUAUAUAUCAUUUGCUUUGAAGUAUACACUUUGAUUAGUUCUUUGAAAACUCAGGAUCAGUUGGUUUAUGAGGUAUUGGGGGUAUCAUAUGUGGAGAUAUGGAACAAUUUGCUGCAUUUGUUUUCGUCGAUUUUGCAAUGCUUUGGAUACAAAUCUCGACACAUAGUGAGUUGCUCCAAGAUUGAGUUGUGUUUAUUAAGAAAUCAUAUCUCGACACUUAGUGAGUUGCUCGAAGAUUGGUUGUAUUUAUUAAGAAAUCAUAACCAAAAUUAUUAUUGUGAAAGAUACUUAUGAAUUUAUAAAUAAAACUAUAAAUUUUUUUUUUUUUGAUGAAAAGUUAAAUUUAUUGAUCAUAGCGGAAAAGAAAGUUUAAUACAAAAUGACUCUAGAAAUCUAAAAACUUUGCGCUUUGGUUCUAUCCUUACCCAAGACGGGCCUCAAACCACCGCUGCAUCAGUCUCGUUAGUCCUCUCUUCUCAUAGUCCUCUCUUCUCAAACUAUAAAAUUUUAAGUUCUAUUAUUUUUAUAUAUCAGCAGAUCAUAUAUAUGAUCUUCUUUAUUUUAUCCAUCUAUACUAAAUAAUUGAUAAGGACUAUUUGGUAGACUAAAAUAAUAAAACUAAUAAGUUAAAAUUAAUUUAAUUUGGCUUUGUUAAACAUACAUAAAAUUUAUAUAUCAGUCUUCAUUAAUAAAACUUAAUUUUACCUAAAAUGGCCCUUAUUUUUCAAAGUAAUUUAAUUUUUAUUAGUAGAAUUUUGGUAUUUUCGUUUUGGGACUAUAACUACAAAUGCAUCUCAAACAAAUUAUGGAUUUGGGUCAUAAUAUUUUAGAUUAUUCAUUAAUUAAAUGCUCAAAUUUGAAAAACUUAUUAAUAUUCGUUUGAAAAGAUCAUAUUUACCCAGAAAUGAAAUCUAAUCUUAAAUAUAACCCAUAAAUUAUUAUUUUUGUCGUCAUAUUUUAUUAUACACAUAAAACUUUUAAAACUAUAUCUUUUUGAACACUAAUUAUACACAAUCAAUACUUUUAUUACACAAAAUUUUUAAUACAGAUAAUUACCCAAAAUUACAAUAUAACAAUAUACUACAACAAUAUGACUAUGAGGGUGAUUGGUUGGGUUUUAUCUCCCUACUUUAGCUUUAUUUAUUUUUAAAUCACUAAAUUUUACCAAUCAUGUUGUAGCUUUACUUUUAAAAAUUAAAGUCUACAUCAAGUUUUUAUUUAGUUUUACCAAUCAUGCUUUAACUUUAUUUUUAAAGCUACAUCAAAAAAAAUAAUGCAAAACUUUUUCUUAUGUAUUUUAGGCAAAAACCCUACAUCUUCUUUUUAUACGCUGUAGAAUCUGUAAAUAAAAAAAAUAUCUAUAAUAUCAAAUAAAUUAUGUAAUCAUAAUAAAAACUUUUAUAAAUAUUUUAAUUUUGAAUUUGAGUGUUUUUAAAUUAUUAAGAUAUAUAAAUACUAUAAAUAUUAUUUACAUAUCACAUUUUAAAUUACAAUAAAUUUUGAUAAUUUAUUAAAAAAUAUUAAUAUAAAUUAUUUUAAUUGAUAUAAAAUAAUAAUUUUAUAUAUACAACACAUUUUUCAUAUAUUUUAUUUUAAAAUAUCUACAGCCUACAGCUUACAGCUACAACAAAUUUAACUACAGCAAAAGUCUCUGCAGAAAAAGUCUUCAGUAACAACUUUACAGCUACAGCCGAUUUAUCUACAGCUAAUCAUCUACACCUAAAUUUUUAAAGACAUAGUCGAACCAAUAUCACCUAUAGCCCAUCCAGAUCAUAUCAAAUUCGACCAUGUGAUAUAUCGUUUUCUAAGAAAUCAGAUUCAUUUAAUUGAGCCACAUGUUUAUUUAUUUUAAAUUUUUUAGAUUCAAAUCAUUUUAUAAAGAUUAAUUUUGAAUGGUUAAUGGUACGCUUUUGGGUUUUUAACGGGUUAUGUCAAAGUUUUAAUUAACAAAUUGACUCAUUACAAGAUUAUUAUAGAUCAAUAUUGUUAUUUGUAGUAUUGAAUAAUAUUAUUAGAUGUUGCUUUUUUUUUUGCGCAACAUACUUAGAUAAGUUUGUAUGUUCUUAUAUGUUUUCUAUCAACAAUAGUUAAGGUAUUCAACACCCACACUUUCUUCUUUUUACAUUCCACGUUAUCAUAUCUUUUUUCCACAUAAUUAUUCAACACUCAUUUUAAUUUUAACAUCUACAAUAGUUUUAUUUAAUAAAAUUCAACUCCUUACCCCACAAUUUUAUAUAUAAUUUUAUACUACAUAUUAAAAACAAUUUUCAACUAAAAUUAAUUAAAAUUAUUAAAAAUAAUUAUUGUUAGAUUAUGUUUUAACAAAAGAUAUUUUAAAAUGUAAAUACAUGUUUGUUGGGAAAUAACUAGAUAACUAUAGUAAAAUAAUGUCUUUUGUGUUCAGGAUCAAAUUUAUGUAGAAUAACAAAAUAACUUUUUUGAUAUUAUAACAUAAAAAACUAAUUGAGUUUAGUUACUAUCAAAACAAUUUAGGGAAAUUAGGCCAAUUAUACACAACAAAAACUACAAUUUACUAACUAACCAAAAAACCUCUUCUCUCUCCUACUUUCUCUUCCUCUCUAUCUACUUUCUCACCGCAAAUCUAAAUUUCUUUUUUUUUAUUAUUAUUUGGCAAAUAAGCCAUUUAGUCAAUUAAGCAAAAAAAGAGAAAGAAAACAAUUUAGUCACCCGUAAAAUAAACAUUUGUUGUGGUUAUAUCAGUUUAUUAUUUUUUUUUUGAAAAAAAGCUUAUUUGCCAAAUAAUAAAGAAAAAAGAAAUUUAGAUUUGCGGUGAGGAGGUAGAUAGAGAUAGGAAGAUAAAGUAGGAGUGAGGAGGUUUUUUGGUUGAUAUCAGUUUAUUAUUUGAUGAAAAGAUUUAUUACAUGUUUGAAUGCACGUUACUAACGUAUGCAGAGCAAAUAUUUUUAUGUUUGGUUCAGAAGUCACCACGUGUAUGUGGUGGUUUCCACUUUUAGUUUUUCAACCUUUGAAUAAUAAAUUCAACUAGGUUUAAUCCAGGUCAUCAUUUUUUACUUGUUCAACUACUCUGUUGCACUUUUUAUCUGAUAUUCAACAGUUGAAUAAAAAGAUUCAACACCAUUAUAUAUGGUCUUAGUUAUUUUACAGAUCAUUUCAUAUCAGAUCAUUGUCCGAUCAUAUCUUAAAUUACUAGUUGACUAGUUGAUUUUUAAACUAAUUUAGAUUUGAACAUUUUCUAAUAUUAUAUAUAUACAUAUGGUUGUUCAUGUGUGCAUUCUCAUUACACUCUUUUGUAAAAAACAUUCUCAUUAUACUCAUUGUGACUCUAAUUUUGAUUUUGUUCUUCUAAUAUCAUUAAAAUGACUAGACCCAUCAUUUGUGUUAUUCUUAUGGUCGUCUUUGUUUUAGGUGUGCUUUACACAAAAUCAAUUUAAAAUCAAGUAUUUUCUCUUGUAUUUUAUAUUUUAAAAAAAAACUGAAAUCAUGUUUUAAUAUAUUUAUUUUAGGUAUGGUGGCGAAGGAAACACAAGGAGAAAAUAUGUGUCAUAUAAAUAUAUCUUAUGGUAAUGAAGGUUGUGAAUCUAUGGUGUGCAGUUUUGACUGUGCUUCAAAUUGGAAGGGAUUCGGCGAGUGUGUGAGUACAGAAAGUCCAAACUGCAUAUGCGCUUAUCCUUGCGCAAAUUGAUUUUAUUUGUUAUCCAUAAUCUAUCAACAAUCACAUUAAUAAAAUAAUGAGUAAUAAAAACUGCAAAAUUUGAUUUAUCUUUUUUAUUUGAAUGCGAACUCUAAGUAAAAUAAUUUUGUGUGAA